rnacentral:lncRNA from 10 species
GCUGAUAAAGACAUACCUGAGACUGGGCAAUUUACAAAAGAAAGAGAUUUCUUGGACUUACAGUUCCACAUGGCCGGGGAGGCCUCACGAUCAUGGCAGAAGGCAAGGAGGAGCAAGUCACAUCUUAUGUGGAUGGCAGCAGGCAAAGAGAGAGCGAGCUUGUGCAAGGAGACUCCCAUUUUUAAAACCAUCAGAUCUCGUGAGACUUAUUCACUAUCAGGAGAACAGCAAGCUAAAUCAGUGUGAGACCAAGGACCCUGGGGCUCCUCCAGUCAUUGCAGCUGUAUCACAACUACCCUGACAGAUUUCUUGCUCAGGGCAAGCCACCUGCCAUGUCUUGAGAACACUCAAGCAGCACAUGGCGAGGAAUGGAGAUGGACAGACAUGGGCCAGCAAGAAACAGGCUUGCCAACAACAGCUUGCGUGAUCCUGAAAGUGGGUCCUCUAGCCCCAUGUGACUGUUGCCCUGGCCAACAACUUAACUGCAACCUCAAGAGAUACCUACCCUGAGUCAGAACCACCCAGUCAAACUACCCCUGGCAUCUUAACUCAGAGUAACUGUGAGAUAAUUACUGUGAGAUAAUUAUGAUGAUUUUAAGCUUCUCAGUUUGGGGGUAAUUUGUU